rnacentral:lncRNA from 1 species
CUCCGGUCCUUAUUAUAAGAAACACUUUGACAAAAUCACACAGACCAAGGAAGGUAAAUUUUCUCAUCAAUGAUUCUAACAUUUUAUGUUAUAUUCCAAAACUAACCUUUGACUAGCAUGGGAAAUAGACUUCUCUAAUUAAUGCACUAGCAUUAUAAUGAAUUAUUUGAUUGUAUUUAAUAAGGGUACAAAUGGAAUUGUGUCAAAGUGUUUCUUAUAAAAAGGACCAAAUAAAAAUUCCAAAGUGUUUCUUAUAAAAAGGACCGGAGGGAGUAU